rnacentral:snRNA from 1 species
GGAUUUAAGGAUGACCUGGAUGCAGUUAUCCAUCAUCCCACUGAUCACCAGGGUGAAGUUGGCUGCUCUAGAUGACCUGGUGGGUGUCUGCUUCCUCCAUCACCAUUCCAUGUGCAUCUUUUUCCUGAAGCUGAUUGCUCAGUUGAAGAAGACAGCCUUCCAUGGUAGGGGAAGACCAUGAUGUCAUCAGUAAAGAACAGCUGUGCUCUCCUGCUAGAAUCUCCAAAGAAGCCCUCAAGAAAUGCUCUGAGCCAUGCUAAUAUAAGCAAAGGGCAGCUGUGUCAUGCUAGUUCCUGUCACUA